rnacentral:rRNA from 1 species
AUGAUGAACGCUAGCUACAGGCUUAACACAUGCAAGUCGAGGGGCAGCAUGACGAUAGCUUGCUAUUGUUGAUGGCGACCGGCGCACGGGUGAGUAACGCGUAUCCAACCUUCCCAUUACUCAGGGAUAGCCCAGCGAAAGUUGGAUUAAUACCUGAUGGUUUUCAUCGAUCCCAUGAGAAGUGAAAUAAAGAUUUAUCGGUAAUGGAUGGGGAUGCGUCUGAUUAGGUAGUAGGCGGGGUAACGGCCCACCUAGCCUACGAUCAGUAGGGGUUCUGAGAGGAAGGUCCCCCACAUUGGAACUGAGACACGGUCCAAACUCCUACGGGAGGCAGCAGUGAGGAAUAUUGGUCAAUGGACGCGAGUCUGAACCAGCCAAGUAGCGUGCAGGAUGACGGCCCUAUGGGUUGUAAACUGCUUUUAUGCGGGGAUAAAGUGAGGGACGUGUCCCUUUUUGCAGGUACCGCAUGAAUAAGGACCGGCUAAUUCCGUGCCAGCAGCCGCGGUAAUACGGAAGGUCCGGGCGUUAUCCGGAUUUAUUGGGUUUAAAGGGAGCGUAGGCCGGACUUUAAGCGUGUUGUGAAAUGUAGAUGCUCAACAUCUGAAUUGCAGCGCGAACUGGAGUCCUUGAGUGUGCAGAAAGAUGGCGGAAUUCGUCGUGUAGCGGUGAAAUGCUUAGAUAUGACGAAGAACUCCGAUUGCGAAGGCAGCUGUCUGUAGCAUUACUGACGCUGAUGCUCGAAGGUGCGGGUAUCGAACAGGAUUAGAUACCCUGGUAGUCCGCACAGUAAACGAUGGACGCUCGUUGUUCCGGCUUCGGCUGGUGCGACCAAGGGAAACCAUUAAGCAUCCCACCUGGGGAGUACGCCGGCAACGGUGAAACUCAAAGGAAUUGACGGGGGCCCGCACAAGCGGAGGAACAUGUGGUUUAAUUCGAUGAUACGCGAGGAACCUUACCCGGGCUUGAACUGCAGCGGAAGGAAACAGAGAUGUCGACGUCCUUCGGGACCGCUGUGGAGGUGCUGCAUGGUUGUCGUCAGCUCGUGCCGUGAGGUGUCGGCUUAAGUGCCAUAACGAGCGCAACCCCUGUCUUUAGUUGCCAUCAGGUUAAGCUGGGCACUCUGGAGAUACUGCCACCGCAAGGUGUGAGGAAGGUGGGGAUGACGUCAAAUCAGCACGGCCCUUACGUCCGGGGCUACACACGUGUUACAAUGGCGUGUACAGAGAGUUGGAAUCAUGCAAAUAGUUUCUAAUCAAUAAAACACGUCUCAGUUCGGAUUGGGGUCUGCAACCCGACCCCAUGAAGCUGGAUUCGCUAGUAAUCGCGCAUCAGCCAUGGCGCGGUGAUACGUUCCCGGGCAUGUACACGCCGCCCGUACAGGCGACUUCGCGCCGCAUACGUGAAAAAAAACUCUGG